rnacentral:rRNA from 1 species
GAUGAACGCUAGCGGCAGGCUUAACACAUGCAAGUCGAGGGGCAGCGCGGGAUAGCAAUAUCCUGGCGGUGACCGGCGGAAGGGUGCGUAACGCGUGAGCGACAUGCCCGUUGCCCGGGGACAACCGGUGGAAACGCCGACUAAUCCCCGAUGGGAUAUUGUGCCGCAUGGCACGAUAUUGAAAGUUACGGCGGCGACGGAUUGGCUCGCGUCCGAUUAGCUUGUUGGCGGGGUAACGGCCCACCAAGGCUGCGAUCGGUAGGGGUUCUGAGAGGAAGGCCCCCCACAAUGGGACUGAGACACGGCCCAUACUCCUACGGGAGGCAGCAGUGAGGAAUAUUGGUCAAUGGGCGGAAGCCUGAACCAGCCAUGCCGCGUGCGGGAAGGAGGCCCUAUGGGCUGUGAACCGCUUUUGCCUGGGGGCAAUAAGGGCGUCGCGCACGUCCGAUGAGAGUACCAGGCGAAUAAGCAUCGGCUAACUCCGU